UACAUGUGGGGCAAGCGUUGUUCGGAAUUACUGGGCGUAAAGCGCACGUAGGUGGCGACGUAAGUCGGGUGUGAAAGCCCCGGGCUCAACCUGGGAAUUGCAUUCGAGACUGCAUUGCUGGAGUACGGAAGAGGAGGGCGGAAUUCCUGGUGUAGCGGUGAAAUGACGCAGAUAUCAGGAGGAACACCGGUGGCGAAGGCGGGUCUCUGGGCAACAACUGACGCUGAGACGCGAAAGCGUGGGGAGCAAACAGG
rnacentral:rRNA from 1 species